GGGAGCUCAACUCUCCCCCCCUUUUCCGAGGGUCAUCGGAACCA
rnacentral:misc_RNA from 1 species